AAAGAACAGAUGCUGCAGGAAGAGAGGCCUGAAGUUGAAGGGAGAGUUACUCUUCUUUGCACUUGAGGUUCACUAUAUCCUACUUGGGAAAGGGCUAGGAAAACAUUUGGAAGUGAAAUGAUUGUAAAAUAUGCAAGUUAUCAAUAGAAAAAAAUUAAAUCAAUAAAGUCAGACAUUACAUCAUUAAUGAUGACGGCCUUGGUACUAAUUUAUAAUAAAUCAUAGUAAGGGAAAGAUGACAAUGUCAUUUAAGUCAAGUCAGUUUUUCAUAACACAAUUAUGAGGAUUUGUACAAAUGCAUUGCUAAGUAAUUCCCAAUGAUUCUGUGUCACCUCCCUUAUAGGUAAAUGAGCUUCAGAAACAGUAUUUUAGCUUGCUUUGGCCAAUACGAACACUGACAUCACUGCAGCUUGGCAACUCACCCCAUCACCGAUGAUGUCUCCUUCCACAAGGUUCAGUCCCAAACCUAAGUGGCAAGAUAAGAUCUGACAUUAGCAAAUGGGUAAAACCCUUAACCUGAGGAGACCACAAGAAGAGCCUGACAGAGCAGAAGCCAAGACGAACACCAUGAAUCCAUGUUGUAUCCCCAAAAUAUCCAGAGGGAGAGACAGAUAAAGCCAGAGCCAUCCUAAAACAUAAUUUGUACAGUGGAAGAAAGCUUAGAGGUCAGGCUAAAUGUCUCACAUUGCAAGUUUGGAAAGUGAGGCCAAAGGAAGUGAAAGGAAUUGCCAGAAGUUACCCAAAUUGUGAGUAGCAGAGUUGGGAAUCAGCCCAAGCUCUACCAACUCCAAAUUCUGAGAGGCGAUUUUGAUUUCUAGAUAGAUGGGAAGUUAUGGGAAAAGAGGAAAAAAUGAAAGUGAAAGAAGGGAAGGAAUGACUGAGUAAU
rnacentral:lncRNA from 1 species